GUUGACGUAGCUUAACCAAAGCAUAGCACUGAAGAUGCUAAGAUGGGUCCUGAAAAACCCCGCCAGCA
rnacentral:tRNA from 1 species